rnacentral:rRNA from 1 species
UACGUAGGGUGCAAGCGUUUGUCCGGAAUUAUUGGGCGUAAAGAGCUCGUAGGCGGUCUGUCGCGUCUGCUGUGAAAGCCCGGGGCUUAACCCCGGGUCUGCAUUCGAUACGGGCAGACUAGAGUGUGGUAGGGGAGAUCGGAAUUCCUGGUGUAGCGGUGAAAUGCGCAGAUAUCUGGAGGAACACCGGUGGCGAAGGCGGCAUCCUGGACCGGUAUUGACGCUGAGGCGCGAAAGCUAGGGGAGCAAACGGG